rnacentral:rRNA from 1 species
UACAGAGGCCCCAAGCGUUACUGAGAAUCACUGGGUUUAAAGGGUGCGUAGGUGGUCCGUUAAGUCUGUUGUGAAAGCCCUUGGCUCAACCAAGGAAUUGCUUCGGAUACUGGCGGACUUGAGGCUAGUAGAGGUCACUGGAACUGACGGUGGAGCGGUGAAAUGCGUAGAUAUCAGGAGGAACACCGGUGGCGAAGGCGGCAUCCUGGACCGACACUGACACUGAGGAGCGAAAGCCAGGGGAGCAAACGGG